UACGUAGGGCGCAAGCGUUAUCCGGAAUUAUUGGGCGUAAAGAGCUCGUAGGCGGUCUGUCGCGUCGGUCGUGAAAACUUGGGGCUUAACCCUGAGCUUGCGGUCGAUACGGGCAUGACUGGAGUUCGGCAGGGGAGACUGGAAUUCCUGGUGUAGCGGUGAAAUGCGCAGAUAUCAGGGGGAACACCGGUGGCGAAGGCGGGUCUCUGGGCCGAUACUGACGCUGAGGAGCGAAAGCGUGGGGAGCGAACAGG
rnacentral:rRNA from 1 species